rnacentral:lncRNA from 1 species
CCCUAGGGUUUCUGUCUAGGGUUCGAAAAGUGAGAAGAUGAGCUACGAGUGUCGUGAGCCCACCAAACCUCAGAGAGAGCUUCAUCAUACUCUCAAGUUUCUUUGCUGAUGAUCUAGAGCAUCUGAGGAGUUGACAGACAUCGAUCGAAGGAGUUCGAUCAGCAUCGACCAUUGAAAGGGUUCUGCAACGAACUAGCAUUGGUGAGGAGCCGAUC